rnacentral:rRNA from 1 species
AGUGAACGCUGGCGGUAGGCCUAACACAUGCAAGUCGAACGGCAGCACAGUAAGAGCUUGCUCUUACGGGUGGCGAGUGGCGGACGGGUGAGGAAUACAUCGGAAUCUACUUUUUCGUGGGGGAUAACGUAGGGAAACUUACGCUAAUACCGCAUACGACCUACGGGUGAAAGCAGGGGAUCUUCGGACCUUGCGCGAUUGAAUGAGCCGAUGUCGGAUUAGCUAGUUGGCGGGGUAAAGGCCCACCAAGGCGACGAUCCGUAGCUGGUCUGAGAGGAUGACAAGCCACAGGGGAGGGUGAACGGGGACAAGACCCCGGGGGGAGGCAGAAGAGGGGAAUGUGGGACAGUGGGCGCAACCUGGCCCCAGCCAUACCGGGGGGGGGAAAAGGGCCUUGGGUUUGUAAGGCCUUUUUGUGGGAAAAAAAAAGCGGGGGUUUAAUACCCCGCGGUUUUGACGGUCCCAAAAAAAAAAGCCCCGGCUAACUUGGUG